rnacentral:misc_RNA from 1 species
GAUGAAGAACGUAGCGAAAUGCGAUAAGUAGUGUGAAUUGCAGAAUUCAGUGAAUCAUCGAAUCUUUGAACGCACAUUGCGCCCCUUGGUAUUCCAUGGGGCAUGCCUGUUCGAGCGUCAUUUGUACCUUCAAGCUUUGCUUGGUGUUGGGUGUUUGUCCAUUCUCUUGCAGAGGGACUCGCCUUAAAGUAAUUGGCAGCCAGUGUUUUGGUUUUGAAGCGCAGCACAAGUCGCGAUUCAAAGCUAUACGCCCGCUUCCACAAGCCUUUUUCACUUUUGACCUCGCAUCAGGUAGGGAUACCCGCUGAACUUAAGCAUAUCAAUAAGCGGAGGA